UGGCCUAGCUCUGCGCCAGAGCGUAUCGGGGGAGGAGCUGAGGAGAGGGGGCUGGAGAGGGGAGAAAGAGGGUUAGCUAGAUCGCCGACCCGCAUAUAGGAAGGGCCGUCGCGGCGGCUGCUGCUGUAGUUGGAGCUGGUCGCCGGGGGGAGCGAGAAAGAGCUAGAGGUCGCCGUCACGCGUAUCGCUUUGCUGCCGUGGGAGAGACAACUAAAGAGAUGGUGCUGCCACACGAGCCUCGGCAGGAAAUUCCACCUUGCGUUAGCGGCGACAGCAGGUAGGGAAUUCCUUCUGGAAUACGACGGCGGUGACCGGAACACCGAGACCUCGGGGAGCGACCACGCGUUCGUCCUGUUUGCACGGUAUUCGUAGUUCCCUAAACCCCCUGAACCCCUUGAAUAGACGACCAGUACUGUGGGAGAGGAGACCUACAACUACAGUUUGGGAGGAGGUUCCACGUCCAUUUUGAAACACGAUACUCCAUUUCCUUUAUUAAGACCUCCUUUGAUUCCAAGUACAUACCAACUAGAAGGGUGUUUAAAACCUAACCACAGUAAAAUAAUUAUAUCAAUUAACCAAGAAUAUGUUUUAUAUUAAUACCAAAGGAUACAAGUCAAAAUCAAUGUACUACGGUAGUAGGAGUAUCAACACAAGACGUGAACAUAAAUAAAUACAAGAUAAGUCAAAAGAACACAUCUUCGUUGGUUGAUCUUUUCCGUCCUUCCCACAGAAUUACCAGUACAAAACCACGACGUAUGUUCCUCAAUGGACGAGACCCAAAAUAAAGUACUUCGUAUGAAGUUAGAAACUAUGUUCACUUUCUACCACAAUAACAGUCUGUCAUAACCAACAACGACUUCCUAAUGUAAUUAGUAAAAAGCGGUCCUUACAACACAGUAGGCUCGUAAAACGAGAUAUGCCCAUAUACGGAGAACUUUAGAGGGUUUAUUUUACGGAUGGAUACGAGUAAAGUUACCGCUAAAUAUCAAAUAUGAUACAUUAAGGAAGUUCAAAGAAAUAUAGUACCUUUUCAAAUAUAAGUAGUAUAAAAACAUCUUAAGAGUGUCGAGAUACACAAACUGUUAAACAAAGAAAAACAAUGUAGGUUAAUCCGUACUUUAUUCAAGGUAACAACAAAUGAAGUCUUCACAGAACGGAACAACACAGACACGCAGCGAUCUGGAGGAGAGGUUGAUAAGUACACACAACGCAACCUUUAGUAGCGUUUUCUCUAAUGUUACAUUAAAGCCAUCUAAAAAAUUACUGAAGUGAAACAGACUUACACCCUGGAUUAUCCGCUGUUUACAUUAUCAUAAAACUGAAUAGGUGAAAAUCACAUCGUACGGAUUCGCUCGGGCCUCUUUUGAAAACUUAUUAGAUGUACUGUCUAGUAUUUAGCCAAUGUAUAUAUUAAAAACUACAAUAUCUAGACUUUCGUUAGUCAAAAAAAUAUAACAAUGAGAUUUAGAGAUCCAUAGAUAAUGAAAUAAAUUAAGAUUAAAGAUUAAGUUUUUAGGGAAGUUACAAUAUUUACUCUUUAGAAGAUACACAUGGUAUAUAACUCAAAGUCUUCCUACGAUUCUACUAUCGUGACCUCGUGGUUGCAUCAAGGUCGUAUACAUGUACUAAGACAUCAGGGAGCCGACCUUCGUAAAUCAUGAAUGGUAAAAAGAUAAAAGGUUUACAAAUAAAGGUUGAAGAUCUCUAAUCGACUAGUUCACGGACUUUCUUUUGGUUAACGCUAUAUAUGACCUCAAUCGUUUUUUUAGUUCAUGUCAUAUGAUCUCACAUACUUGUAGAAUUUAAACAACAUUAUAUAGAGUCGUAGGUUUAAAAUAAAAAGGUGUAGUGUAUCUAAUAGAAAGAGAUUUAGCCGGGAAAAAGUCAAUACUCGUCGCUAUCAUGAUGUAGUUAUAAUAUUGAAUCCAUGCUAAUAAAAACGAGAGAUUAAGUACUCACAGAGACGAUAAUGACCUCAUCUCUGAACCAUAGAUUAAAAAUUGUACACUACAGUACCGUUGACACACCACUUGUACUGACUUGUAAUAUUUGAACGGAGUUCUUGUGUUUUCAGGUCAGGUGAAUAAAGCGACCAGGAGUAUUUAUGAGUACAUCGAAUAAUGUCAAGACUCCAUACGGUUUUUUAAUUCUGCCCAAAUUCACAGAUAAAGAAAUCUUACAGUUUGGGAAUAAUAAUGUUAAAGAUCUCUAUUUUGUUAGGAUUAUUAUCGAGAUCGGUCCAAAUUAAAUCCUGUAAUAAAAACCAACAACUUGUCCCAAAGUGACGGACAGUCACUAUCAAGUUUGAACUCUAUCGAGGUAUGGUCUACUUUUCUUCAUUGUGUUGUUCCCUCCCACGGUUACUCCGAUAUCUGAGAAUAACGAGUUUGAAUAAGUUGGAUUGACGUCUUUCAAACCAACAACGGCCUACUUCAACAACUUCUCCUAAGUUCAAAGUAAAUUUAUUUUUUUAACUAGCUGAGAAACGACUUUAAUUAAAGUCAUGUUUACGUAUUGUUCAUUAGUAUAGAUUGAACUCGUCGAGUUCCUGCGUGACCAAGGUAAGAUCCACACGACUGUAUAAUGCGUAUAAACGUAAAUAAGGUUAAGUGAAACCAAGAUUAUGAGAACCAGAAAACAGAAUGUGUUCUAGCUACAAUGAACGAUAUAGUCAAUACAACAGUACGCUGCUACACCAACGACUAACCAGCUGUAAAGUCAAACCUAGGAUAAAUUAAGUACGUUCACAUCGUUGUGGGAAAAGGUACGACAAAAAAACAUUCUGAAAAGUAAUAACUUACCCUAACAGCCAGAUAGUGAAAGGAUGUCGGACCAAAGAGAAGUUUUGACUUAAUGAUAUACUAAUCAUGUAUAGACAUAAUACAUCCUAUAACAAUAAACUAUAAGAUUGAUUCAUAGGAACAAUCGUGAGAAUAGUGUACUUACACUACUUGAGGUACUCUUUAUCGGUCCACGUAAUCCGAGUGGAUUCAGAAGAAACAAAGGCUUGUACCAGCGGGAAAUCAUGUCCAGACUUCUAAGCCCAUUACGUGGUACAUUUGUUAGAUGAAUAACCAGACUUGUAAAAAUAAAAUCUUCAUGCAGAAUAACGAAUAAUACAGAACC
rnacentral:rRNA from 1 species